GCGCACCAGGCGCGAAACCUUCGCAAUGCGGGAAACCGCGACGAGGGACUCCCAGUGCCUACGCUCGGCGUAGGCUGUUCCCGAGCCUAGAAAGCUCGGGGAGUAAGGGCUGGGUAAGACGGGUGCCAGCCGCCGCGGUAAUACCCGCAGCCCGAGUGGUGGCCACUAUUAUUGGGCCUAAAGCGUCCGUAGCCGGCCCGGUAAAUGCCUGGGUAAAUCGUGAGGCCUAACCUCACGAAUUCCGGGUAGACUGCCGGGCUAGGGACCGGAGGAGGGAGAGGGUACUCCAGGGGUAGGGGUGAAAUCCUGUAAUCCCUGGAGGACCACCGGUGGCGAAGGCGCUCUCCUAGGACGGGUCCGACGGUGAGGGACGAAAGCCAGGGGAGCGAACCGGAUUAGAUACCCGGGUAGU
rnacentral:rRNA from 1 species